UAGGGAAUAUUGGGCAAUGGUCGGAAGACUGACCCAGCCAUGCCGCGUGCAGGAAGAAGGAGCUAAGCUUUGUAAACUGCUUUAGCAGGGGAAGAAAAGGCGUCUGCGGACGAGAUUGACGGUACCCUGAGAAUAAGCACCGGCUAACUACGUGCCAGCAGCCGCGGUAAUACGUAGGGUGCAAGCGUUGUCCGGAUUUAUUGGGUUUAAAGGGUGCGUAGGCGGCUUGAUAAGUCAGUGUUAAAAUACGUCAGCUUAACUGGCGGACUGGCAUUGAUACUGUUGAGCUUGAGGGAGAUGGAGGUAGGCGGAAUUUAUGGUGUAGCGGUGAAAUGCAUAGAUACCAUAAAGAACACCGAUAGCGUAGGCAGCUUGCCACGUUUCACCUGACGCUGAGGCA
rnacentral:rRNA from 1 species